rnacentral:lncRNA from 1 species
CAGUUGCUGAAGCAGGUGCUGGGAUGAACUCCCCGUUAAUGAAGGAGGCUUGGGGAGGCUUAGAGAGGUCCAGACAACGCAGAGAAGGAUUAGGGCAAAAAAGAAGAAAGAACAAGGAUGACAAACAGGGACAUUAUAAGCCCAUGCCCAUCAGGGAGUCACAGAACAGGAACGCUUUGUUAGGUCAGAAAGGGAGGAGGAAGCCAUUGAGGCAAGACGCCCUCGUGCCUUCCUUUCUACGAGCCUAUGGUCAUGAACGGGCACAUUUGGCAGGAGGUCAAAUGUACAGUCUGUUGUUCUUGUUGAAAUGAGACAUGGAGUUGAAGCUAUGGAGGAACUGGGUUGAGGAAGCAGAAAUAUUGAGAGCUUAAGGAACUGGUCCAAGGUCACAUUACAGCUAGGGAUGGUCAUGUGACACAAUCUGGCCAAUCAGGCCUACGUCUGUCAUGGAGUUCUUGGGAAAGCGCUCGUUUUUCGUGAGACAGGAUAAAUUCCUAUAAUUGAUGUGAAUUCCUGGAUCAAAGAGGAUGCACAUUUUUUAGGUUUUAUAUGCUGUGGAUAAUAUGCCCUUGAGAAAGACUUGAUACCCAAGGUGACAAGGCUUAAAUGCCAUCCUCUGUGAAAAAUACCAGCCAUUUAAAAAAAGAAGAGGAAAGAAACACGGAGUGCUAUCUCAGUCCUGAAGCCAAGAAGGAAAAGUGCACUGUGUGAAAAACAUAAAACAGAGCUGUUCGUGACACCUAAAGGCCAGACAAGGCUGAAAGACCACCCAGUGUCAGCCCAGGAAGAAAGAACUGAGGAAGCUAAAAGCCCAAACCCCGGGGAGUAUCAACAUGCCAAACACAAUUUGGGGAAGACAAUUAAAA